CAAAAUAGAGCUUGAAUAAGUUUUUCAUUUACAUUGGAAAGAAAUUAUUAAAUUAAUUAUUUUGA
rnacentral:tRNA from 1 species